rnacentral:sRNA from 1 species
UUGACAGCCCUGAGAACUGACGUUCUCUAGCCACAGACAAGAUACAGCAUGGGCAGUAGUAGUACACACUUCUCCAAGCUGUCCACCCAACUCUGUCUCAGAGGGUUGCAAAUGAAGUUUACUAUCCAUUUUCUUUCAGUGAGACAUAGAAGCAUCACUGGCAUCUUUGUUAUGAUAUA